rnacentral:rRNA from 1 species
UACGUAGGUGGCAAGCGUUGUCCGGAAUUAUUGGGCGUAAAGCGCGCGCAGGCGGUCCUUUAAGUCUGAUGUGAAAGCCCACGGCUCAACCGUGGAGGGUCAUUGGAAACUGGGGGACUUGAGUGCAGGAGAGAAGAGUGGAAUUCCACGUGUAGCGGUGAAAUGCGUAGAGAUGUGGAGGAACACCAGUGGCGAAGGCGACUCUUUGGUCUGUAACUGACGCUGAGGCGCGAAAGCGUGGGGAGCAAACAGG